GCAGCUCUAGUGUGACGUUAAUAAAGUACCUACCUGCCUGUCUCAACAACUCAACUCCACCUAAAUUGUUUAGCAAAGACUUUUCAACCUUUCUUUUUAUCUUUGAAUAUUCCUAGUGUAUGAUUCAUUUCAAUCUAACAUGUGCCGUUUUCUUUUUAAUCGUAAAUUUUAUUUCUGUUUGUAUCGUGCCUAUGUAGAAUCGGCCAAAAGAAAUUGCACAACAACAAACUUUAGACCUGCGUUACUUUGGACACUUGUUUACAUACUACUCUUUUUAAUAAUGCCAUCAGGCAUUGUAUAUUACUUAUACAAUCAUGCCGCUUCUGCCAAGAGUAUGGCGAUUCCAGCGGCGUUUUCAUUCUUGCUGUUUUCUCUGGUAGCAUUUUGUCUCAGGACUAUUGGUAGUUUACUUAUAGGAGCAAAAAAACUGUUGCCAAAAAUGAAAACCAGCCAAAACCAGCCAAAAAUGAAAAUUUAAUUUGGUACGACUCUUUAUGAUUUACUUAAAGAAGCAAAAAACAUGUUAAACGCAAUGGAUACGAUUGAAACUUUUUCAUCAAGUGACGCAUCUGACAAUGAAUCUGCUAUUGCUGCCUCUCAGUCUGAGCAGUUUAUGAAUUGGUUCUAUAAGGGUCCUCAUUUAGAACCUUGGCCACAUUCUAGAAUACCACAGUCGGAUGAUUGUGAAGCAUUGAGAAGCCUUCGUCACACUAAUCAAAAAUCCCGUCGAAAUUACGAAAAAUUAUGUUCUCAGCAAAGUCCAGAUUCUGCUGUUUCUGAGACUUCCUUCAUUGAGAGUGCGCAAGAAAGUUAUGACGAAAGUAAUUUACUUCUGCAAGCAGAACAUAGAAGUCUCAAUCCAUCGAGGUCAUCAGAGGAACACACAAAAGUAACACUCAGAAGUCGCCAUCCUUCUGAAUCAUUAAAGGAACAUACAGGAUUAACACUCAGAAGUCGCCAUCCAUCGGGAUCAUUAGAGGAACACACAGGAUUAACACAAAGUCUCAAUCCAUCGAUAUCAUCAGAGGAACAAGCAACCUCAUCUACUUUUGUGACUGUAGCCGAAGUCCACAGAUCAAACUACGAGGAGAGCGAUUGAAAGUAAACCCAUGAGAUGCAUCAAGGAAGCAGAACGACAGUACUUAACGAAAAAGUUCAAGUAUACGUGUCUUAGCAGUUUGCAAUUGCGCAAGGAUUCAAAGGAUUUAAAAAUUAAGGUUACACAAUUUCUUUUUCUCCAGACUUUUCUCCUCUUCUUUGCCAUGGUUACAGUAAGUCUAGCUUUUAUAUCCCCACGCAAAAACUGACUCCAAAUGUGAACCAUACUGCCGUGGGGGAAAACAAAAUUUUGCGAAACCAUGGCGACGAAAAGUGUGUCUAGAGCGGAAUUUUUGUAACUUCGAAACUCAUAUUUUAUGUAAGAUAAAUCAAGGUUUAAAAAUGGAUCUUUUAGCGAGUUUUGUUUCCAUACGGUAUUUAAAAUUUAAAUUUUAAUUGCAAUCUGUUUCGAUUUUUAUAUAUAUAUUUCCGCGAUAUGUAUCAAGGACUUAAAUGCAUAUACAUUUUAAUUUUUUUAAUAAUCUGUGUAUAUAAUUUUGAGAAAUACUACAGAUUUAAAAAAAAUUCAUUUAUAAGCAUUUCUUAUAGAUAUUUACUUUAACGAUAUGCUCCAAUGCUUUAAGACAUUUAGCUGCCUUCCUUAAUUUUAAUGAUCUGAAUCAUAAGUUCUUUUAGCUGUACGCUUUUUAUGUUGAAAAUUAAAUCAAAAUUGUAAUUUAUACGCAUUUUAAUAGUAGUUACAUAUUUUAAGUGUUGUUCAAAAGAUUCAAAAAAUAAAGCUGAAAGCAUUUCAUUACAAAAAAUCAUAAAAUAAAUAAAUUUCACUAUUUUUGAAAAUUUUAAAACAUGCACUUUAGAACCUUUUUUAGAAAGCUAAAUGUAUCAUUAAAGAUUUGAUAACAUUCUAUUUCGUUCAAAUUUAUAUCUUCAUGAAGUAUUCCAAGGAUGUAAAUAUUGGUCAUAUAAAAACCUUUUAAUAGUUUAUUUCUCUAUAAUUUCAAAUUUAUAUAGUUUUGAUUUAUUAAAAAUAUUUACUAAAACCAAAGCUUUUUCCUCUUUUAUCCACGGUUUUCUUAAACUAUAUGUUACUAUACACUUAAAUAUAUACUUAACUAUUACUUAACUAUAAACUAUAUACUUAUAUAAAGGCUGCAAAAUAUUACUUUCUUGUGGAAAAUUCUUAUUUUUAAACUGUUUCCAAUGUUUUGCAAAACUACAGCAAGUGUUUUUGAAUCUUGUAAAAUUAUAAUCAAAUAUGUUCUAAGGUAUGUUUAUGUUAAUUUAUUAUUCUCACAACUAUUUUUAUUCAUUUCUUACAAUGAAUUAAUGUUUGUUUCAUGCUAAUGCGUUCUUGUGGUUCUUAAUAAAAAAAAAUUUAUACAAUAA